UUUAAAAGCAGCGUGGGCGACUACGUUGCGUUGUAGACUGAAGGGGCGUUAUCCAUUUGUGUGUAGCUCGGGUAUAGGUCCGUUGGAACGCGGCAUCAUAGAGGGUGAGAAUCCCGUCCGUGGCCCGAGAGAAUUCUACGCAUUGUUGUGUUACGCUUCCGAAGAGUCGGGUUGUUUGGGAAUGCAGCCCAAAAUGGGUGGUAAACUUCAUCUAAGGCUAAAUAUAGGCACGAGACCGAUAGCGAACAAGUACCGUGAGGGAAAGAUGAAAAGCACUUUGAAAAGAGAGUCAAAAAGUACGUGAAACCGUUAGGAGGGAAACGAAUGGGGCUAGCAUUUUGUAUUCGUCACAAUCAGCCGGACGUCCAUGCGGGCGUGACGACGGUGAAAGCAGGGAAACUUGUUUUUUUCUGCUUUUUUCAAGAGAGCUUUUCCGUAAUGCGGAAGAGCCUCACGUCGGUGCGAACCAAUUAUCCUGUGUGGAUGGGAAAGCCGGUGCACUUGCGACGAGUAUCAGGCCAACAUCAGUUCGGUUAAUCUUGCCAAACGAAAGAGACAGGAACCUUUGAAGGAAGGUGGCUGGUUCGAGUUCCUUUUGGUCUCGUUUCAGCGUUAUAGCCUUCGAAGGAAAAACUUUUUUCUAAACGUCGCGGCCCGGACUGAGGAAACGCAGCAGCGCGCUCUUUUCUUUUUCGGGGACUUGUUCUCUGGAGAGGAGAGGGAAACUUGCAGAGCUUUCGCUAGGGUGCCAGCCGACUUCCACUGAACCAAAAAGGGGCAGUUGGAGAAGGUUUUUCAAUUCGGUGCCUUACCUUUUACAGGCUACGGGAGUCUACGCAUUAUACGCGCUUGUGAUGUUGGCGAAAUGGCUUCAUCCGACCCGUCUUGAAACACGGACCAAGGAGUCUGACAUGUACGCGAGUCCUUUGGGUGACAAACCCGUGGGCGUAAUGAAAGUGAAGGCGCGCCAUUUUUUGUCGUGCGCAUAACAACGCCGUGAGGUGAGACGCCUUUUUUUUUUUUUUCUCGUUUCGGCGGGGGAGAACUGAGAGGCCGCAUCAUCGACCGAUCCGGAAGGGCCGGAGAGGAUAGGAAAAAGGGGAACUUUGUUCUUCUUUUUCCUCCACUUCGGAUUUCCCGAAAGAUUUGAGUAAGAGCGUACCUGUUGGGACCCGAAAGAUGGUGAACUAUGCCUGAACAGGGUGAAGUCUGAGGAAACUCAGAUGGAAGCUCGCAGCGAUUCUGACGUGCAAAUCGAUCGUCUGAUUUGGGUAUAGGGGCGAAAGACUAAUCGAACCAUCUAGUAGCUGGUUCCCUCCGAAAUUUCCCUCAGGAUAGCUGGAGCUCGAAAUGCAGUUUUAUCAGGUAAAGCGAAUGAUUAGAGGCCUUGGGGUCGAAAUGACCUCAACCUAUUCUCAAACUUUAAAUGGGUAAGAAGCGCGACUUGCUUAAUUGAAGCCGUGCCAACUGAAUGCAAGAGUUCCAAGUGGGCCAUUUUUGGUAAGCAGAACUGGCGAUGCGGGAUGAACCGAACGCGAAGUUAAAGUGCCAAAGUUCACGCUCACCUAGAACCCAGAAAAGGUGUUGGCUGAUGAAGACAGCAGGACGGUGGCCAUGGAAGUCGGAAUCCGCUAAGGAGUGUGUAACAACUCACCUGCCGAAUCAGCCAGCCCUGAAAAUGGAUGGCGCUCAAGCGUGACACUCAUACUUCGCCGUUGCCGCGAACGAGGCAGACGCAUACUCUUAAUUUGCCGCAACGAGUAGGAGGGCGUGGAGGUAAUUUGUGAAGCAGCUUCGGGCGUGAGCCUGAGUGAAACUGCC
rnacentral:rRNA from 1 species